rnacentral:tRNA from 1 species
GCCGGCAUGGUCUAAUCGGAUAAAACAUCAAGCCGGAUGGGCGAAGUUUGCGGGUUCAAUCCCCGCUCCUGGCC